AUCUUUUUCACUAAGUCUUUAU
rnacentral:miRNA from 1 species